UUCUUUCUCUCUUUCUUUUUCUUCUUGUUUCUCUCUCUCUAUUUCUUUCUUCUUCUUAUCUACUACAUUCAUAGGUGAUGAUAGGCUAUUCGGCUCUUGAUUGGAGAAAGAGAAAGGACUGAACGAAUGAGAGAGAGAGAAACUUCCUCUAUUCUCUUUCUUAUCAGUAAAAUCAUAUAAAUCUUCAGAGGAAGAGAGAGAGA
rnacentral:ribozyme from 1 species